UAUAAUUCCCUACAAUACAAAUGUACGCAGUACAUUGCCCCCGGUUUUUAGGUUAGAGUGUUAGAGGAUUCAUGUCUGUUUAGAAUUUAAAUAAACCAAUUUGUGUUUAAAUUGUAACGAUACGUCGAUACCUACAUUUCUUUAUACUUUGCUCCUUACGUUCGAGCAGCGAACUGCAAGCUGAAUACCCGAGGUAAGUGACAACUAUCGUAAUUUUGU